rnacentral:rRNA from 1 species
UUAAAUUGAAGAGUUUGAUCAUGGCUCAGAUUGAACGCUGGCGGCAGGCCUAACACAUGCAAGUCGAACGGUAACAGGAAGCAGCUUGCUGCUUUGCUGACGAGUGGCGGACGGGUGAGUAAUGUCUGGGAAACUGCCUGAUGGAGGGGGAUAACUACUGGAAACGGUGGCUAAUACCGCAUAACGUCGCAAGACCAAAGAGGGGGACCUUCGGGCCUCUUGCCAUCAGAUGUGCCCAGAUGGGAUUAGCUAGUUGGUGAGGUAACGGCUCACCAAGGCGACGAUCCCUAGCUGGUCUGAGAGGAUGACCAGCCACACUGGAACUGAGACACGGUCCAGACUCCUACGGGAGGCAGCAGUGGGGAAUAUUGCACAAUGGGCGCAAGCCUGAUGCAGCCAUGCCGCGUGUAUGAAGAAGGCCUUCGGGUUGUAAAGUACUUUCAGCGGGGAGGAAGGUGUUGUGGUUAAUAACCACAGCAAUUGACGUUACCCGCAGAAGAAGCACCGGCUAACUCCGUGCCAGCAGCCGCGGUAAUACGGAGGGUGCAAGCGUUAAUCGGAAUUACUGGGCGUAAAGCGCACGCAGGCGGUCUGUCAAGUCGGAUGUGAAAUCCCCGGGCUCAACCUGGGAACUGCAUUCGAAACUGGCAGGCUUGAGUCUUGUAGAGGGGGGUAGAAUUCCAGGUGUAGCGGUGAAAUGCGUAGAGAUCUGGAGGAAUACCGGUGGCGAAGGCGGCCCCCUGGACAAAGACUGACGCUCAGGUGCGAAAGCGUGGGGAGCAAACAGGAUUAGAUACCCUGGUAGUCCACGCCGUAAACGAUGUCUACUUGGAGGUUGUGCCCUUGAGGCGUGGCUUCCGGAGCUAACGCGUUAAGUAGACCGCCUGGGGAGUACGGCCGCAAGGUUAAAACUCAAAUGAAUUGACGGGGGCCCGCACAAGCGGUGGAGCAUGUGGUUUAAUUCGAUGCAACGCGAAGAACCUUACCUGGUCUUGACAUCCACAGAACUUUCCAGAGAUGGACUGGUGCCUUCGGGAACUGUGAGACAGGUGCUGCAUGGCUGUCGUCAGCUCGUGUUGUGAAAUGUUGGGUUAAGUCCCGCAACGAGCGCAACCCUUAUCCUUUGUUGCCAGCGGUCCGGCCGGGAACUCAAAGGAGACUGCCAGUGAUAAACUGGAGGAAGGUGGGGAUGACGUCAAGUCAUCAUGGCCCUUACGACCAGGGCUACACACGUGCUACAAUGGCGCAUACAAAGAGAAGCGACCUCGCGAGAGCAAGCGGACCUCAUAAAGUGCGUCGUAGUCCGGAUUGGAGUCUGCAACUCGACUCCAUGAAGUCGGAAUCGCUAGUAAUCGUGGAUCAGAAUGCCACGGUGAAUACGUUCCCGGGCCUUGUACACACCGCCCGUCACACCAUGGGAGUGGGUUGCAAAAGAAGUAGGUAGCUUAACCUUCGGGAGGGCGCUUACCACUUUGUGAUUCAUGACUGGGGUGAAGUCGUAACAAGGUAACCGUAGGGGAACCUGCGGUUGGAUCACCUCCUUACCUGAAAGAAGC